rnacentral:lncRNA from 12 species
GCUAACUUAAAAAAAAAUGCGGGACGUUGCCAAUUCAAAAUAAGAUAUCAUCACAACUAUGCUUGGAAGCAUCUGGAAGGCACAAAUUUCAAUGUGACUAAAAGCCUAUUAAUACUUUAAUUGCAGGAUUGCAUGACCUCAAUCAUUCAGUUAGAUUUGUACGUAACUACUGAGAGGUGCCUCUAGAAUAUGGGAUCUAUUUCACACUUGAAAAUGAAUGUUUUUCAAAUAUGUUUCAUCAUUUCUGUCAAAUUGAUUCAGUCCAAGACGUAUUCCGAAGUGCGAAUUUAUAAGCAUCUCGAGAGAGGAUACCCAUAGGUAUAGACAGUCGUUAAACACAGGUGUGGAGAAUGGUCUCCCAAUAUCCUCAAAUAGAAUGACACAUGCCUGUUAGGAAAACCAGAGAAAAGGGGAAACACUCUAGCAGCCGUUUCCUAGGUUUUCAGCACUAUUGUAAUCAGUGAGUAAUGUUUAAAUAUUUAAAAUACAUGCAUUUCCAAAGCCGGGAAUGACCCCUUCACCCUGCCCUUUGCUGAGGGCAGGUGGCCUUUGCACCCAUCCAGAUUUUUAGCCCAGAGUAUAAAGGAGAGAGCGCCCGGCAAAUCAGAGCAGCAGGGAUUCUCUGCCGCAGACCCCCCUGUCCUUGGUAGGAUGUUGACAACCACCCUGCUUCCCGCUUGGUCCCUUCUCCAGGGUUCGGCAGCCUGGAUGCAGGACCAGCGCACAGGCCUCCCGGCACCUGCCCUCCCCACCCCACCCUGACCUCUCUUUGGGGGAUCUCAGCACCUGUGCCCCCGACCCUGAGCUCUCUCUGCAGGAUCUCGGCCCCUCCUACCACCCAGGCCAGAGUCAGGAUGCUGAGUCUCGCCCCCCGGGGCCGUCGCCCUGUGCUCCGCCCUCGCAGGCGACGCUCACCUUCCCGGCCCGUGUUGCAGGAGCGCAGGAGGCCUGGGCCCCGGUCUGCCCCCGCCCCGCCCCCAGCACUGGGCAGAAGCCGGUGCGGCCCCAACAGGACAGGGCCUUGCAGAGCUUCGUUGCGGAGAACCCCCAGGAUGAAGUCUCCAGAAAUGUCUCAAAAGUGUAAGAUGUUAAUUUACAUCGUUUUUCUUUUUUUUUACUUUGGUGUGUGUCGUCCUUUUAAAUUAUAGAAAACAUUUUAAUGGAAAGCAAACAUGAAAACUUAAAUAUAGGGCAGAGCCUACCUUUCUAUGUAUGAUACUACCUGUUUGCUAAGAAAUACCUAGUAGUACCAUGUGACUGCAACAGAAAUACUUCCUUACUCAUUCAUUAGGAAAGCAAAUACGCCUACUACUACUUUGACAUUUUACGGAAGCUACUUUUAAAUCAGAAUAUUUAGUUUUCAAUAGUCAUAUAAUCAACAGAGGUGUAUUUAUAUAUAUACAUACAUAUGAAUAUUUGUAGGUGUAUGUAUGUGUGUUUAUUAUAUAUUAUAUAUAUAUAUAUAUUUUUUUUUUUUUAGUAGGAUCCACACCCGCCUGGAGCCCAAUGUGGGGCCCGAACCCCUACCCCUGAGAUCAAGACCUGAGCUGAGAUCAAGCAUCAGGCUGCUUAACUGACUGAGCCACCGAGGCGCCCCAAGGUGCAUUUAUAUUUUUUAAUGGGGUAUAAUUCCUUAUGUAUUUUUUUGCAUAUUUUCCUACUACACAUUGAACUUGUAUGUUUUUAAAAUUACUGCAUCUAGACAAAUGUAAAUGUUAUUUUCCAGCUUUCUGAUACCUACUAUUUUAAAUAGAUAUUUUUGUCUUAGAAAUAAAAGCAAAAACAAAACAAAAACA